UACGGGGGGAGCAAGCGUUGUUCGGAUUUACUGGGCGUAAAGGGCGCGUAGGCGGCCACCGCAAGUCAGUUGUGAAAGCUCUGGGCUUAACCCAGAAAGGUCAGCUGAUACUGCGGGGCUAGAGUGCAGAAGGGGCAACUGGAAUUCUCGGUGUAGCGGUGAAAUGCGUAGAUAUCUGAAGGAACAUCAGUGGCGAAAGCGACUUCCUGGACCAAUACUGACGCUCAUGUGCGAAAGCGUGGGGAGCAAACAGG
rnacentral:rRNA from 1 species